AUAAUUAUUAUAUCAAGAGGUUUAAUUAUUAUAUCAAGUAGUAUAGAGAAGUUUUUUAUGUAUCUUUCCUUUGGUCUUCUUUCUCUGUACUCCGUCUCUGUGUUGAAGUUUGGGUCUUAGCAUUGGCCAUUGCUGUGGUUUCCAUCACCAUUGCUCUCUAUAACCUCAACCUCUCUCCUUCCACAACCACCACCGACACCACCACCACCACCACCACCACCACCAUUGCUCUCCAGAAAUGUGACCGGACAAAUGGAACUCACGAUUGAUAGAUUUGUACAAGUGGCUGUGUUUUUGACGGUUGAUCUGGAAGGGUGUGGGCAGUUUAGCAGUGUACAGAAAGCUAUAGAAGUUGCUCCCCUGUGAAGUUCUUCUAAGACCCUCAUAAUCAUCGUUGAUGUGGGUACUUACAGGGAGAAGGUGAAAGUGGAUCAAAACAAAACAAAUAUGAUAUUGGAAGGCAAGGGUUAUCUCAACAAAACAAAUUACACGAAGAGAGUGUCAUAUGCAAAGCAGAUCAAUCAAUCUGAAGCAGCUCAUUUCAUAUGCAAGGGGUGAAAUAUGAAAUGAGGGUCUCAUAAGCAAAUAAAUAAAAGAAGGUUAUUUUUCUUUUAUUUAAUCAGCAAGAGGUGACAUGAGCCGUAUUAAUGGGGAAAAGAAAAAUACAGAGAAAAUUAUUUCUCUUGACUACUAGUCAAAUACUUUACAGUGCCAACGCAGUUCUACUCUCUUUUUACGUUGGUCUCAGGAAAAAGAGGGAGCUUGUUACCUGUAAGUACCCACAUCAAUGAUGAUGAGGGUCUAAGAAGAACUCCACAGGGGAGCAGCUUCUACAGCUUUCUGUACACUGCGAAACUGCGCACACCCUUCCAAGUCAACCAUCAAAACCACAGCCACCUUGUUCAUAUCUAUCAGUCGUGAUUUUCAUUUGUCCGGGUCACAUUUUUGGAGAGCAAUGGUGGUGGUGGUGGUGGUGGUUGUGGAAGGAGAGAAGUUAUAGAGAGCAAAGGUAAUGGAAAGCACAGCAAUGGCCAAUGGCCAAUGCUAAGACCCCAAAAUCUUCCUUUCAUGGCUGAAGAAGAAACUUCAACAAGGAGACGGAGUACAGAGGAAGAAGACCAAAGGAAAGAUAUAUAAAACCUUCUAUAUACACUAAAUUAUAUGAUAAUGAAACCUUCUCUAUGCUACGACAUUAAUGGUUUUAAGCUCUUCUCUCAUUAUUUUGGCUUGCUAUUUUAGAAUAUGUGUGGCUAUGCGUCUUUGUAUAUGUAUACAUAUAAAGGGAGCCUUUCUCUUGAUCAAUAUAUCGAAAUAGGCCGAAUCAUUGUACUUUGAUUAGAUAAAACAAUAUACAACCAUGAUAAUAUCCACAUUGAUGCAUAGACAAAAUCAGAGAUUUAAGUCCAGUUAAUCAGCCCAAACUAAUAAUCUUCAUUUUGAGUUGCCUCUCAAAUUAACUCUGAGAUUUGCUCUAUGUGUCCUCAACCACCAACAGCCAGUCCAAAUUAAAUCAAAUGGAAGUCAAAGUGGGCGCACAACCUUCUCCUAAGGUGGGCACGAGUACAACCUUAAUAUGUAACGAGGCUCUGCAUAAUUAGUCUUCUGUAACAUACUAAACUGGCUGUCAAAACAAAAGCCUUCCUCAACUUGUUUAUGAUAUAAUGCCUCGGAGACGAAUAUACUAUAUAUGAAGCUUUUCAUGUCUAUUUUAUACUA